UUUUGAUUGUUGCUCAGAAAGCCGUAAUGUUUAACUCCGGCGCUCGGGCAACAAUCAACUAA
rnacentral:pre_miRNA from 1 species